rnacentral:rRNA from 1 species
UACGGGGUGGGCAAGCGUUGUUCGGAAUUACUGGGCGUAAAGGGCUCGUAGGCGGCCAACUAAGUCCGACGUGAAAUCCCCAGGCUUAACCUGGGAACUGCGUCGGAUACUGGAUGUCUUGAAUUCGGGAGAGGGAUGCAGAAUUCCAGGUGUAGCGGUGAAAUGCGUAGAUAUCUGGAGGAAUACCGGUGGCGAAGGCGGCAUCCUGGACCGACAUUGACGCUGAUGAGCGAAAGCUAGGGGAGCAAACGGG